CCUACGGGGGGCAGCAGUGGGGAAUAUUGCACAAUGGGCGCAAGCCUGAUGCAGCAACGCCGCGUGAGGGACGACGGCCUUCGGGUUGUAAACCUCUUUUAGCAGGGAAGAAGCGAAAGUGACGGUACCUGCAGAAAAAGCACCGGCUAACUACGUGCCAGCAGCCGCGGUAAUACGUAGGGUGCAAGCGUUGUCCGGAAUUAUUGGGCGUAAAGAGCUCGUAGGCGGUCUGUCGCGUCUGCUGUGAAAACCCGAGGCUCAACCUCGGGCCUGCAGUGGGUACGGGCAGACUAGAGUGCGGUAGGGGAGAUUGGAAUUCCUGGUGUAGCGGUGGAAUGCGCAGAUAUCAGGAGGAACACCGAUGGCGAAGGCAGAUCUCUGGGCCGUAACUGACGCUGAGGAGCGAAAGCGUGGGGAGCGAACAGGAUUAGAUACCCCGGUAGUC
rnacentral:rRNA from 1 species